rnacentral:tRNA from 1 species
GGAGGGGUGGCAGAAUGGCAAUGCGCCAGUCUUGAAAACUGGUGCCCGUAAGGGCUUGCAGGUUCGAAUCCUGUCCCCUCCG